rnacentral:misc_RNA from 1 species
UGUGGGAGCGAGCCUGCUCGCGAUGAGGCCAUGUCAGUCGACAUCUCUGUCACUGACAGACCGCUAUCGCGAGCAGGCUCGCUCCCAUA